rnacentral:rRNA from 1 species
UUCAUUAAAGGGAGAUUCAUCUUGGAUGGGGUGCUGUGCUUAAAUGAGAUAAUCCAUGAUCUGCGGAUUAAGGGGACCAAGGCUGUGGUCCUUAAGCUCGACUUUGAGAAGGCAUACGACUCGGUGAGUUGGAAUUUUCUUCGGCAAGUCCUUCUGGCUAAGGGCUUUGAGGGUCCUGUGAUGCACCGUUUGAUGCAGCUUGUUUCUGGUGGGCACACUGCUGUGGUUGUGAAUGGUCAAACUAGUAAUUUUUUUGCUAAUGGUAGGGGCCUCAGACAAGGGGAUCCGGUCUCCCCUUUGCUUUUCAAUUUUGUGGCUGAUGCUUUAUCUCGCAUCCUCUCUCGGGUCGCGUUGACUGGGCAUAUUUCCCCUGUGAGCUCUCACCUUAUUCCUCAUGGCAUUACUCAUCUUCAGUAUGCAGACGAUACCAUCAUUAUGAUAGAGCUCAAUGAGACCAGUCUCACCAAUCUGAAAUUCCUGCUGCUUUGCUUCGAAGCUCUCUCGGGUCUUAAAAUUAACUUUUCCAAGAGCGAGGUCAUUGUGACUGGGGUUUCGGACUUGGAGGCGCAACGGGUGUCUCACCUUCUGAAUUGUUCCCUUGGGUCUUAUCCUCUCAAAUAUUUAGGAUUACCUAUUUCCCCGUAUAAGCUCUUGGCGAAAGAUUUUGCCCCGGUGGUCGCCAAAGUUGGCAAUAGAGUCCUUCCUUGGAGAGGUCGAUAUAACACGCAAGCGGGCAAGGUUGCCCUUACCAACUCAUGCCUCUCUUCCCUCCCAAUGUAUCUGAUGGGUUUCUAUCUUCUAUCUAACGGGACUCACUCUGGUUUCGACAAGCAUAGGGGUGCUUUUUACUGGAACGCUGCGGAUAAUAAACGCAAAUAUAGAUUGGUCAGAUGGAACAUCAUUUGUCGUCCUAAGGACAAAGGGGGUCUCGGCAUUAUUAAUACGAGAGUCAUGAAUAAUUGCCUCUUGAUUAAAUGGUGGUGGAAGAUAAUGACUCUUGAGGAGCGCCCAAUUUGGCUCUCGAUUCUUAAAGCUAAAUAUUUCCCAUCCUCGAGCCCUAUGUUCGCCUCUGCUUCUGGUGGGUCUCAAUUUUGGCGUCAACUGGUUAAAGUUCGGCCGAUUUUUUGGUCCCUUGUCAAAUUUGUUGUCAGGAAGGGUAAGUCCACUCGUUUUUGGUUCGACUGGUGGGUCGGGGACACCACGCUUGCGGCUGCC